UGUUUUCUUCCCCUCUCAAGAAAGGAAAGAGAAAGUCCGUGGCCACUAUUUAAGUUGUUCUAAAUGAUCGUGUCCUUUUUGGCUUCGAAACUUUUGUACCUAAAAAUCGAGGGAGGCGCUGCAUUCUUUCAGCUCAAACUGUCAAAACUUGGAGAAGGGGAACCUCGGAGGCAGGCCGGAGAAGAGGAGAGCCCUGAAACUCCGCGGGGUGGGAAGACGCUGUGCCUCGAGGAUUAGUUUAAACAGCGGGCUAUAAAAGAUGUAACAGAUGCAAACUGUAACACAAGGGCCAUUAACCCUUUCUCUGCCGCCCAGCACGCCCAGUCCCUACACCCUGCACCUAUUGUCUCCGGUGCCACAAGCUUUGCGGAAAACCUGGAAAGGGAGAGAAGAGAGACCCUGAAACACGCGCCACCUAUCUUUGUGGGGAGGGAUAAUUGAAGCGCCCUGAGCGUGAGCAUCAUGUGAAAACGUGAUCGCCAAGUUUCUCUCUGGGAAAGGAUCUGGGAUAGAUUAUACCUUGAAGUCUCCGCAAACGCUUUAGUGGAAGAAAUGAAAUUCCACCUCCCUCCCUUCCUCUCUCCCUCCCUCCCUUCUCCACGCCCCCCCCCCCCCCCCCCCCCCCCGUC
rnacentral:lncRNA from 1 species